rnacentral:rRNA from 1 species
AAAAAAGGUAAGCUACUAAGAGCGAAUGGUGGAUGCCUUGACUGGUAAAGGCGAUGAAGGACGUACUAGACUGCGAUAAGCUACGGGGAGCUGUCAAGAAGCUUUGAUCCGUAGAUUUCCGAAUGGGGCAACCCAAUGUAUAGAGAUAUACAUUACCUAUAUAGGAGCGAACGAGGGGAAUUGAAACAUCUUAGUACCCUCAGGAAAAGAAAUCAAUAGAGAUUGCGUCAGUAGCGGCGAGCGAAAGCGCAAGAGGGCAAACCCAGUGCUUGCACUGGGGGUUGUAGGACUGCAAUGUGCAAGAGCUGAGUUUAGCAGAACAUUCUGGAAAGUAUAGCCAUAGAGGGUGAUAGUCCCGUAUGCGAAAAACAAAGCUUAGCUAGCAGUAUCCUGAGUAGGGCGGGACACGAGGAAUCCUGUCUGAAUCCGGGUCGACCACGAUCCAACCCUAAAUACUAAUACCAGAUCGAUAGUGCACAAGUACCGUGAGGGAAAGGUGAAAAGAACUGAGGUGAUCAGAGUGAAAUAGAACCUGAAACCAUUUGCUUACAAUCAUUCAGAGCACUAUGUAGCAAUACAGUGUGAUGGACUGCCUUUUGCAUAAUGAGCCUGCGAGUUGUGGUGUCUGGCAAGGUUAAGCAAACGCGAAGCCGUAGCGAAAGCGAGUCUGAAUAGGGCGCUUAGUCAGAUGCUGCAGACCCGAAACGAAGUGAUCUAUCCAUGAGCAAGUUGAAGCUAGUGUAAGAACUAGUGGAGGACUGAACCCAUAGGCGUUGAAAAGCCCCGGGAUGACUUGUGGAUAGGGGUGAAAGGCCAAUCAAACUUCGUGAUAGCUGGUUCUCUCCGAAAUAUAUUUAGGUAUAGCGUUGUGUCGUAAUAUAAGGGGGUAGAGCACUGAAUGGGCUAGGGCAUACACCAAUGUACCAAACCCUAUCAAACUCCGAAUACCUUAUAUGUAAUCACAGCAGUCAGGCGGCGAGUGAUAAAAUCCGUCGUCAAGAGGGAAACAACCCAGACUACCAGCUAAGGUCCCUAAAUCUUACUUAAGUGGAAAACGAUGUGAAGUUACUUAAACAACCAGGAGGUUGGCUUAGAAGCAGCCAUCCUUUAAAGAAAGCGUAAUAGCUCACUGGUCUAGUGAUUUUGCGCGGAAAAUAUAACGGGGCUAAAGUAAGUACCGAAGCUGUAGACUUGCACACAACUUAGAUUAUUUAAGUUUAGAAUAUAAAAAAACUAAGUUAUAUGUUUUAAGUUAUAUUUUUACUGAUUUUUAUAGAGUAAAGAUAGAAAUAAAGCUUAGUAAAAUCAGUAAAAAUAUUCUUGGUUUAAAGUUUAAGUAGUUUAAGUUGUGUGCAAGUGGUAGGAGAGCGUUCUAUUUGCGUCGAAGGUAUACCGGUAAGGAGUGCUGGAGCGAAUAGAAGUGAGCAUGCAGGCAUGAGUAGCGAUAAUUAAUGUGAGAAUCAUUAACGCCGUAAACCCAAGGUUUCCUACGCGAUGCUCGUCAUCGUAGGGUUAGUCGGGUCCUAAGUCGAGUCCGAAAGGGGUAGACGAUGGCAAAUUGGUUAAUAUUCCAAUACCAACAUUAGUGUGCGAUGGAAGGACGCUUAGGGCUAAGGGGGCUAGCGGAUGGAAGUGCUAGUCUAAGGUCGUAGGAGGUUAUACAGGCAAAUCCGUAUAACAAUACUCCGAGAACUGAAAGGCUUUUUGAAGUCUUCGGAUGGAUAGAAGAACCCCUGAUGCCGUCGAGCCAAGAAAAGUUUCUAAGUUUAGCUAAUGUUGCCCGUACCGUAAACCGACACAGGUGGGUGGGAUGAGUAUUCUAAGGCGCGUGGAAGAACUCUCUUUAAGGAACUCUGCAAAAUAGCACCGUAUCUUCGGUAUAAGGUGUGGUUAGCUUUGUAUUAGGAUUUACUCCGAAAGCAAGGAAACUUACAACAAAGAGUCCCUCCCGACUGUUUACCAAAAACACAGCACUCUGCUAACUCGUAAGAGGAUGUAUAGGGUGUGACGCCUGCCCGGUGCUCGAAGGUUAAUUGAUGGGGUUAGCAUUAGCGAAGCUCUUGAUCGAAGCCCGAGUAAACGGCGGCCGUAACUAUAACGGUCCUAAGGUAGCGAAAUUCCUUGUCGGUUAAAUACCGACCUGCAUGAAUGGCGUAACGAGAUGGGAGCUGUCUCAAAGAGGGAUCCAGUGAAAUUGUAGUGGAGGUGAAAAUUCCUCCUACCCGCGGCAAGACGGAAAGACCCCGUGGACCUUUACUACAGCUUGACACUGCUACUUGGAUAAGAAUGUGCAGGAUAGGUGGGAGGCUUUGAGUAUAUGACGCCAGUUGUAUAUGAGCCGUUGUUGAGAUACCACUCUUUCUUAUUUGGGUAGCUAACCAGCUUGAGUUAUCCUCAAGUGGGACAAUGUCUGGUGGGUAGUUUGACUGGGGCGGUCGCCUCCCAAAUAAUAACGGAGGCUUACAAAGGUUGGCUCAGAACGGUUGGAAAUCGUUCGUAGAGUAUAAAGGUAUAAGCCAGCUUAACUGCAAGACAUACAAGUCAAGCAGAGACGAAAGUCGGUCUUAGUGAUCCGGUGGUUCUGUGUGGAAGGGCCAUCGCUCAAAGGAUAAAAGGUACCCCGGGGAUAACAGGCUGAUCUCCCCCAAGAGCUCACAUCGACGGGGAGGUUUGGCACCUCGAUGUCGGCUCAUCGCAUCCUGGGGCUGGAGCAGGUCCCAAGGGUAUGGCUGUUCGCCAUUUAAAGCGGUACGCGAGCUGGGUUCAGAACGUCGUGAGACAGUUCGGUCCCUAUCUGCCGUGGGCGUAAGAAGAUUGAAGAGAUUUGACCCUAGUACGAGAGGACCGGGUUGAACAAACCACUGGUGUAGCUGUUGUUCUGCCAAGAGCAUCGCAGCGUAGCUAAGUUUGGAAAGGAUAAACGCUGAAAGCAUCUAAGCGUGAAGCCAACUCUAAGAUGAAUCUUCUCUAAGCUCUCUAGAAGACUACUAGUUUGAUAGGCUGGGUGUGUAAUGGAUGAAAGUCCUUUAGCUGACCAGUACUAAUAGAGCGUUUGGCUUAUCUUUAAUAAAGCAU